AUUGAACGCUGGCGGCAGGCCUAACACAUGCAAGUCGAACGAGUGGCGGACGGGUGUGUAAUGUCUGGGAAACCGCCUGCUGGAGGGGGAUAACUACUGGAAACGGUAGCUAAUACCGCAUACCAUUGGAUGUGCCCAUAUGGGAUUAGCUAGUAGGUGUGGUAAAGGCUCACCUAGGCGACGAACCAUAGGUGGUCUGAGAGGAUGACCAGACGAACUGGAACUGAGACACGGUCCAGACUCCUAGGGGAGGCAGCAGUGGGGAAUAUUGCACAAGGGGCGCAAGCCUGAUGAAGCCAUGCGGCGUGUGUGAAGAAGGCCUUCGGGUUGUAAAGUACUUUCAGCGGGGAGGCGUUACCCGCAGAAGAAGCACCGGCUAACUCCGUGCCAGCAGCCGCGGUAAUAC
rnacentral:rRNA from 1 species